AGCCAAUCUGUGAUAAAAGGGGAAAAAUGAAAUCACUAUGGAAACUGCAGGAAGAAUCUAAAAGCUUUCUUUAUAAAGUAAACGUCUGAUGUUUGUGACUGCGGGGGCAAAAAAUUCAUAAAUCUGUACGAUGCUAUCAUUUCUGAUUUGUUAUCGCAGCAAAUGCCAAGUCUAAGCAGUCUGACCUUAGCCUUAUUAAGUGCUUUCUUUUCAGAUACAGUUAUUAUUUGACAAUAGAGAGACUGCAGUGCUGCAGGGGGGAAAACUAAUAUAUUUAAAAUGUGUGUGUGUGUCUGUGUGCAUCUAUCUAUCUAUCUGUCUAUCUAUCUUUCUUUCUUUACUCAUGAAGCUUCUGGAGUUGGGAGCACUGAAUGUGGGAACUCAGGGACUACUAUUCUGAGCACAAUUCAGAAAACUCCGUUGCGUCCCAUUACGUGCGUGUCUUUGAUCUCAAAUUGAAAAUCUCUGAGCCUCUUCCUCCAAUCCAAAAGCAAAUAAAUACUGAAAGGAAGAAACCUCUCUCCUCUCAGCAGAUAGGGCCUGCAAGACUGAAAAAUGAAGGUGACUGUGAGAGCUCUGGUGAGCCUGUUUGGACAACAGACAGCACAAAUACCUGUCUCAGUGGAGGAGUUUAAGAGCACUGCAGAGAUCCUCAGACAGUGCAGAGUCUCUUGGCUUACACAGGCCACUGUCUUUCUCUCUAAACAAUACCAGCCAAGUUUCCUCUGUACAACUGAAGAGCUGCAGGAACAGAAGGACAGUAACUAAAGCUUUUAAAUUUCAAUCUCCUGGUCUUAUUAGGAAAAAAAACAAUAAUUAAAAAAAAAAAAAAAAAGAAAGAAGAAAGGAAGAAAGAAAGAAAGAAAAAAAGAAGAGAAAGAAAGAAAAGGAAAAGAAAAAAGACAUGAAAUAUAAGGAGCAUGAGGAUUCCAAGGAAGAAAACUAUACACGGCAGUUUGAAGCUACAGGGGCAGUCCUGCCUGUUUUUCCUCCAACCAGCUACUUUACUUCAGGCCCUUUGAAACCAGCAAUUCCCAUGGAUCAGCACUUAAAGCGGAUUUGCUGACAGAGCCGUGAAGUUGCCAGAGAUCCUCCCUGUGGCCUGAACCGAUGCCCCCGGGGAGCCCCGCACUGAGAGCCACAGACCUCCGGGUGUGACGCAGUGGAUGAUUGAUUGUACCCGCCAGCUGGCUAAUAUCAUAAUUAACAAAGUUGCUACCAUGUCUGAGAAGUUUAAUCGAAAAAAUUGCCGGCAGUAUGAUGCCAUUGUCACAGAGAUCACAAGCACUGCAGUGUUGACUUUUGUACUGGUGGAGCCGCAGGACUAUGUAGAUGUGCAGAGAAGUCGUUCGCUGGGAUAACUAAAGUGAGCUGUGCUUGCAGACGGCGUGACUGGGCUCUGCUGGAGCUGGCCAGUGACAUACUGCCUCCGCUCUUCUCAUCACUGUUGGAGCAGCCAUGCUGCGGGAAUGCCAAACCUGGGAGCAGCUGCCUGAGACAAGCCCUCGCAUGCAGGCAUGUCAGCAGAAGCACAUGGAACCGCAUCAGCAAGGUUUAGCUGGUGGAUCACGUUGUAAAAUCUGCAGCCAUGAAAGGCCCUCCAUUUAUUGCACCCUUCAAAACGAAAUAUUAGCAUGGGAGGCUAAGCUGGGUGUUACGGAGUAGUGACUUCAAGUUCUGGUUCACAAGUAAAUCCAUGUCAGUAUAAGGAGAGCUGUCGAUGAGAAAUGGAGGCUAAUAACGAAGGAGUCAGUGAAGGAGACCAAUGCCACAAGGGUUAUCUCGCAGCCCCAGAUGCUGGAUAAGUUGGAGGAGGCAGAAUCGCUUUUGGAUGACAUUCAGGAAGGCCUUGAAUGAUUAUUUGGUGAAGAAAAGACUAUUCUUUUCAAGGUUUUUCUCUCAAUGCAGCAAUGAUCUCUUAGGAAUCCUUUUUGAGACAAAGGAUCCACUCCAUAUCCAACCACACCUAAAGAAAUGCUUUGAAGGAAUUGCCAAGCUCACUUUUAAUCAUGAGAAAGAAAUUACCCACAUGGAGUCAGCAGAAAAUGAAAAAGUAGAGCUCGUGCUGCGAAUAAUUCCAGCAAGUGCCAAGGGGCUAGUUGAGCAAUGGCUUCAUGAGGUGAAUAUCUUUAGCUCUUACUUAGGGUUUAGUUACUGUAUAAUCAUUUUCUCUUUUAGGAGCAAUGAAUAUCAUAAGCAUAUUUCCUAACUAAACAGCUCUCUGAAUAUUUGUCAAGAUGUUGACAGAUUUCAGCCUUAUUGUUGUUAUUUAUUGCAGCUAAUUUAGCAACUGCAAAUGUGCAAAAAUUAAUUUUAAUGAAAAGCUCUCAGAGUCAGGCUGUCAGCAGAAGUGGGUCUGUGUCUGAAACCAUGUAUGUGAAUAUAUGUCCGAGUCUACAUGUAUGUGUUUUUGUGCUUUCAUGGUGUAAUGUCUGUAGCUGAUGAGGAAAACAUUUUUUAAACAAUCGCAGAAAUGUAAGAUUUCAAAUGCUUCCAUCCUGUAGAAAUGUAUCCCAUUGUGUUGGAGGGGUUUAAUUUCCAAUACAUUUUAACAAAAGGGAAGAGAACUGAUAACAUCCUAACCUUUCCCCUUCAGGCCACUAAUCCAAAUUCAUUGGUUUUAGCAAGAAAUUAGUUUGGUGACCUUUUUUGUUGUUGUUGUUGUUCACUUUAUUUAACCUUCCUCUGCCAGAGGAUAGGAACUGGCCCUUGUUUUUCAUUUCUGGACCAAAAAAAACUUCCCCUUCCCCCGUGUUUGCUUUCUUAUGGGGCAGGAUCAACCCUGGGUACAUGGGGGCUGCCAGCCAGCAGGACAGAGCAGCCAGGGGAGUGUUAUUUCUAUUCCCAGAUAAUUUGGCUGACACCCUGUGUGCAGAGGUGGCAGCAAAGCCCCGUGCGGGUAGUGGGUUGGAGGGGUUUGGCCCCAUUGUGUGUCACACUUUUGCUGACUGUGUGAGCAAAGCUGAGCCCGCAAGCCCUCUCGUGUGUCUCUGUUGCCCACUGUGUUGAGAGUCACAACAACAUGCUAGGUUGGGCCAAGCCCCCCCCCCCCUUUUUUUUUUUUACAGCAACUACAUCGCAUUUGAGGUGGUCCCGCAACAGCAUUCUGUGGGGUAAGGUAGGGAGGAAAGCAUGUAAGGAUUUAGACAAACACAAAUGCUCCCUACCCUGUUCUCUGUGUCAAAUAACUAGCUUGAUUUUUUUGGACUAGUUUUCAGCACAAAAUUUUCUUCCUUGGAGAGUAGGGGGGGGGAAGCUACAAUGGGUAACUGGCAGUUCUGAGGAGCCCAGGAAAAGCCUAAAUUCUAUUACACUAAGCCUGCAAUAUGCUUUUUAGUUUUUACCUUCUCCCACAAAUGAAAGAUGUUUGGAGAGUUGAGCAGCUGUGUUUAUUUUAACACAUCUCAUUUAACCUUCACCUAAAAACAAAUUGGAAGGUUUGGGAGUGCAUUAAUCUGGACCCAAUUAGUGUCUCUUUCUCUCUCAAAAGUGCAACCUGAGAUUAAUGAAUAUAAACUAGAGUUUCAUAUGCAGUCUUUAAAUCAUUUGCAUGUUUUAUGCAUGAUAAUUGAAUUUAUUUAUGCACUUCCUUUCAUUUAGUGAUUUCUUGCUCUUUUCUAUGCUAUCAACAUUAUAUUAUGCAAGACACAGGAUUAUGGUAGGCAAGAAAGGAUAGCGGUAUAUAAAUCAAACCCGAUUUAAUUCUUAGUUCUAGUGUCAACAGUACAUCAGAAUUAAUAUUGGUAUCAUGCCAGUGGGGUACGUGGCCAGGAAAAUUUAAAAUAUUUUUGGUAAAAUAGAGGCUUUUAGAUUAAGGAGACAUUUCUGAUGCAGUUUAGAUUGCUUGCAAGUGUAUAAGCAAAAUUAUUUUCAAAUGGCAGUUAAAUUAUUGUAUUGACUUUUCAAUGACCGUAGAGACUUGUGUUUCAACUUGGCCAAUUAGUAGUAAUAAGAAGAUGAAUAGUAAUUACAUUAAUAAAUAACUGUUUUUAGACCAGGAUUCAGUAUCAUAGUCUGGCUAAGAAAAUAAGGGCAUUUUAUAACUUGUUUCAUUUGGUCUUUGAUCAGGAGAAAAAGGACUUUGGAACUAUAGUAAAUCUCUUACAGCCAAGAAUGUAGCAGUCCUAGGGACUAGUGAGCCAUAUUAGCUAGCAGCUCUGUGGUAGUAGCUGUUUCAGUGCCAUUGGUAGGGAAUUUUGCUUUGUUUAAGAUGAGAUGUCUUAAAGAUUUCUUAGUGAUGGUCUCUGCAUUUUUUAUAAUGCAUGCCAGGAAGCUACUAUGGCAAGGAGUUUUAAUAAGAUGCUGGUAGUGGUGCUUUCAAAGCUUUAACCUAUACCAGUUUCUUUUUUGUCUCGUCUUUCCUAUGUGUUGAAAGAUGUAUGUGGAAGUGAUAUUUUUCUGUGGUGUCCUGUCUUUUAUCAGUGGAUUAAAUGGCUGUGUGUUGUGAUCGUUUCCUGAUUCUCGUAGGUAGGAAUGUGUUUAAAGGCUACAGCUCUGUUAAUUUGUGAUGUAACCAUUUCAGUGUGUUUCUUGUCAUUGAAAUGUAGUUUAAAAUGUUCAGUAAUGUAGCAUGAAAUUAUUGGUUAGUUUUGGAAUGGUGGUGAAAUCAUGUGAAGAAAAUAAGUAUUGCAUCUGAUCAAGAUAAAUUCACUCUAGUGUUUUAUGGCUUUUUAUUCCUAUGUGAUAGUAAUAAAGUCUCAUGUAGGGAUGGAAGCCAUGAAAUACAUUGUGAAAAAUCAUCAACUCAGAUGGGGCCAUCAGGAUAGCAUGCUGUAGUUGUAGAGUUCUUGAGAAUGAUUGGAAGAUGAUUUAGUAUGUCACCAUGUUGACUACCAUGUUUUGCAUUUUGUUUCUUCAUCCAUCACCCAUGUAGUUUGAUGAGAAGAAAUCAGCUUCUAAUGAGCUGAACCAUCUUUACAUCAGUGUUCAGUGUUUAAACUGUUCAUACAUCUUUCAUUUUCUGCUAAAGAUAACACUGUAUAUGAAACACUAAGCUAAGAAUUUAAUACAGCUAAUAAAAAAGGCCACAACGAAUACAAGUAAAAACCAAUGAAUUUGUAAUUGUUUGAAAAUUAAGAAUGAAAAAAAAAAACAAAAACACAAGGUCUAAACUGUUAGCACACGGGCCAGGUUGUUUAUUUCCAUGUUCAAGAGCAAAUCUGAGAGAUGGUCUGGGGAUUGACAGAUCUUUGGGGAUCUUUUUCCUGCUUACUUUUAUUGGUGAAAGUGCACAAUCUUUUCUCUCUCUGUAACUGAGAUAAAGGCUGACAGUGUUGAGGGCAGAAAACAAUCUCUAACAAUGUCCUUGCAGUGCUGCCAUUCCAUAUAUUGCCUUACUGCUGCAGCUGUUUGGCUCUUUUCCUUUGGGAAUAUUUUUGGGAAGUUUAUUUGUUCUGAUACAACUAUUUACAGUUUUCAUUCUGUAUUUUUUUCUGAAAUGUAUACUAAUAAAGGUUCAUUGAUUUUUUGGUA